UACGUAGGGUGCGAGCGUUAAUCGGAAUUACUGGGCGUAAAGGGUGCGCAGGCGGUCCCGCAAGUCAGGCGUGAAAUCCCCGGGCUUAACCUGGGAAUGGCACUUGAAACUACGGGACUGGAGUAUGGCAGAGGGAGGUGGAAUUCCACGUGUAGCGGUGAAAUGCGUAGAGAUGUGGAGGAACACCGAUGGCGAAGGCAGCCUCCUGGGCCAAUACUGACGCUCAUGCACGAAAGCGUGGGGAGCAAACAGG
rnacentral:rRNA from 1 species